GACGAACGCUGGCGGCGUGUUUAACACAUGCAAGUCGAACGAUGAAGCUAGAGCUUGCUCUGGUGAAUUAGUGGCGAACGGGUGAGUAACACGUGAGUAACCUGCCCCGAACUCUGGGAUAACUGCUGGAAACGGUAGCUAAUACUGGAUACGACCUACGAAGGCAUCUUCUGUAGGUGGAAAGAAUUUCGGUUCGGGAUGGACUCGCGGCCUAUCAGCUUGUUGGUGAGGGAAUGGCUCACCAAGGCGACGACGGGUAGCCGGCCUGAGAGGGUGAACGGCCACACUGGGACUGAGACACGGCCCAGACUCCUACGGGAGGCAGCAGUGGGGAAUAUUGCACAAUGGGCGCAAGCCUGAUGCGGCAACGCCGCGUGAGGGAUGACGGCCUUCGGGUUGUAAACCUCUUUUAGUAGGGAAGAAGCGAAAGUGACGGUACCUGCAGAAAAAGCACCGGCUAACUACGUGCCAGCCGCCGCCGUAA
rnacentral:rRNA from 1 species